UAAAUUGUGGGCUUAGUGGUUAACGUGUUUGCCUCACACCUCCAGGGUCGGGGGUUCGAUUCCCGCCAGGGUCA